rnacentral:rRNA from 1 species
GACGAACGCUGGCGGCGUGCUUAACACAUGCAAGUCGAACGCUGAAGACCUGGCUUUUGUUGGGUUGGAUGAGUGGCGAACGGGUGAGUAACACGUGAGUAACCUGCCCUCUUCUUUGGGAUAACGCCCGGAAACGGGUGCUAAUACUGGAUAUUCACUGAUCUUCGCAUGGGGGUUGGUGGAAAGGUUUGUUCUGGUGGGGGAUGGGCUCGCGGCCUAUCAGCUUGUUGGUGGGGUGAUGGCCUACCAAGGCUUUGACGGGUAGCCGGCCUGAGAGGGUGACCGGUCACAUUGGGACUGAGAUACGGCCCAGACUCCUACGGGAGGCAGCAGUGGGGAAUAUUGCACAAUGGGCGAAAGCCUGAUGCAGCGACGCCGCGUAAGGGAUGGAGGCCUUCGGGUUGUAAACCUCUUUCGCUCAUGGUCAAGCCGCAACUGUGGGUUGUGGUGAGGGUAGUGGGUAAAGAAGCGCCGGCUAACUACGUG